AGAUGCAUCUUGUUCUAUUUCUUCAGCAUAUUCAUAUCAGAACCAGAAACAAAAUGGUGGUCAAAUAUCUUCAAUGUAAGGUGUCCUGUUGAACCCUGUUUCUGGCAUGUGAUUGCUGCUGUCUGUGUAAAAGUGAGUCCAUUAAGUGAAAGUGAGUCAUUAAUGUACAUAAUUUUUGACAUAUGAUAUGUUCAUGAAGAGAAAAUCUUUAAAUAAAUUUAUGGUGACUUGAGUAACACCGGUAUCACUCAGAUUACAAUUCUACCUUGACAGGUAAGUUUGUAUUUAGACUAUAAAAUACUUAUUUAGCCUUGAGAAUUGAAAGGUCAGUUUAUCCCAUUCAUACAAUAGAAGUUUACCUUUAAGGGUCUGAACGGGGUUUACAGAAUAGAGAAUACAUGUAAUGGCAAUAAAAAAUAGAAAAUAGAGAAAAUGAACAACAAAAUAAAGAAUAGAGAAUA
rnacentral:lncRNA from 1 species